rnacentral:rRNA from 1 species
AAACUGAAGAUGGCGACCGGCGCACGGGUGAGUAACACGUAUCCAACCUGCCGAUAACUCCGGAAUAGCCUUUCGAAAGAAAGAUUAAUACCGGAUGGCAUACGAAUAUCGCAUGAUAUUUUUAUUAAAGAAUUUCGGUUAUCGAUGGGGAUGCGUUCCAUUAGUUUGUUGGGGGGGUAACGGCCCACCAAGACUACGAUGGAUAGGGGUUCUGAGAGGAAGGUCCCCCACAUUGGAACUGAGACACGGUCCAA